UUUAUAUGAGAGUUUGAUCCUGGCUCAGGAUGAACGCCGGCGGUGUGCCUAAUACAUGCAAGUCGAACGCGUUGGCCCAAUUGAUUGAUGGUGCUUGCACCUGAUUGAUUUUGGUCGCCAACGAGUGGCGGACGGGUGAGUAACACGUAGGUAACCUACCCAGAAGCGGGGGACAACAUUUGGAAACAGAUGCUAAUACCGCAUAACAACGUUGUUCGCAUGAACAACGCUUAAAAGAUGGCUUCUCGCUAUCACUUCUGGAUGGACCUGCGGUGCAUUAGCUUGUUGGUGGGGUAACGGCCUACCAAGGCGAUGAUGCAUAGCCGAGUUGAGAGACUGAUCGGCCACAAUGGGACUGAGACACGGCCC
rnacentral:rRNA from 2 species